AGAACAGCGCAAAAAAAAAGUGCGUCGUUUAAUUUAUUUUUACUCGAACUUUUGCUGUUGUUGUGACUGUGGCUGUGGUUGUGGUUGUGUGUUGAGACUCGGUUCUAAUCAGGAGGAUGUUGUUACCAAGUGGCUGACUUUGUCGUCUGUGGAGUAAAUGAAAUUAUCGUCGAGUUAUCGUGAGUGUGCGCUUAGAAGAGCGUCUGAGAACGUGGAGAACGUCAUCAGCGAACAUUGUAUGAAUUAGUACUUGAAGUUCGAGUUAUUGAUCGGGAAGUGAUCUUUGGACUCCAGUUCGUUGAAUCCCCCAAUGCAAUGCGAGUUCGACUCUCGUUGACUGGUUGAUCAUUAGUGACGCUCACAAUUGGACUUUAUCGAGCUAAAACCUCUUCAAGGUUUUACAACAACUUACUAGGAAGUGUUUUGUGCGAUGAUUUAAGGAUCGCUUUUAAAUGUCUAGCAGCUAUAUAAAUUUGAUACUUAAUUGCCAAAAAUAUAUACUUGUGGCAUGAAUAUCGCCGAACAUUUAUAAAUUAAAACCGCUGAGUCAAGAGAGCAACGUAUGACGAAGGCGUUGAAUAUUAUUGAGAGGCCCGACCUGGGACAGAGUCCGAUUCAAAACGCGAUCCUAAGUGAAUAACGAACAAGUUUCAUACGUGCGUUUUAUAUACGAAUAUUGUGAAAUUCCAUUGUAAUUUGUUAAUGUUAUUAUUGCCAGUUGUUGUUGUUGUUCUUGUUGUUGCUGUCAUAGCUCAAUUAUCAUUAAGAUUUGUGUUAAAUAUUCAUAAAUAUAUGCUUAAAAUUUAAAUGUUAUUUAUUUGUUUCUUGCUCUUGUCUGUAU